GACGAACGCUGGCGGCGUGCUUAACACAUGCAAGUCGAACGAUGAUGCCAGCUUGCUGGUGGAUUAGUGGCGAACGGGUGAGUAACACGUGAGCAACCUGCCCCUGACUUCGGGAUAACCGCGGGAAACCGUGGCUAAUACCGGAUAUGACGCGCUAUCGCAUGGUGGUGUGUGGAAAGAUUUAUCGGUUGGGGAUGGGCUCGCGGCCUAUCAGCUUGUUGGUGGGGUGAUGGCCUACCAAGGCGACGACGGGUAGCCGGCCUGAGAGGGUGACCGGCCACACUGGGACUGAGACACGGCCCAGACUCCUACGGGAGGCAGCAGUGGGGAAUAUUGCACAAUGGGCGCAAGCCUGAGGCAGCGACGCCGCGUGAGGGAUGACGGCCUUCGGGUUGUAAAACUCUUUCAGUAGGGAAGAAGGCCUUCGGGUUGACGGUACCUGCAGAAGAAGCGCCGGCGAACUACGU
rnacentral:rRNA from 1 species